CGGAUCGGAGUCUGCAACCCGACUCCGUGAAGCUGGAUUCGCUAGUAAUCGCGCAUCAGCCAUGGCGCGGUGAAUACGUUCCCGGGCCUUGUACACACCGCCCGUCACACCAUGGGAGUCGGAAAUGCCCGAAGUCUGUGACCCAACCAUUAAGGAGGGAGCAGCCGAAGGCAGGUCGGAUGACUGGGGUGAAGUCGUAACAAGGUAUC
rnacentral:rRNA from 1 species